CGGACGGGUGAGUAACGCGUGGGUAACCUGCCCCAUANAGGGGGACAACAGCUGGAAACGGCUGCUAAUACCGCAUAGCAGGGAAGAGACGCAUGUCUUUUCCUUCAAAGAUUUAUCGCUAUGGGAUGGACCCGCGUCUGAUUAGCUAGUUGGUAGGGUAACGGCCUACCAAGGCGACGAUCAGUAGCCGGCUUGAGAGAGUGGACGGCCACAUUGGGACUGAGACACGGCCCAAACUCCUACGGAAGGCAGCAG
rnacentral:rRNA from 1 species